AGACAGACACAGGCAUUCCCAUAAGUGGUGCUGCUUACCAAUGUGGAUUCUGCUCACCAAAAACUUUACAAUCUUAGCAAAUUCUACCCAAACUGUUUACUAAUCCUUGGUUCCAAAGAAUUGGAGAAUCGUUCCAUCUCUCUCACCAAAAGCUGAGAUAAAUCAAACUUCUUCGUCAUUUACUUUGAACCCUUUCUGUUCUGAGGGACGCCUCUGCAGGAACAUGUCCCGUCAUGUCAGACCUGUGCAUGGCAGCCGAGCUGCUCCUCUCACACAGCAGAGUACCGGUCGCAGGGGGGCGGGAGUUUCGCUCCAGACCACCCUAACUUCAGCUGAACCGACCAACCGUGAGCCAGAGGCGAUCAGUCAGUGAGGAAAUAUAAAUGCCAUUGGUUGGUUCAGGGCAGUGUCGGCCUCCGACCCUUAAACUUUAACGAAUCGCCACAAUGAACGAGACACCGCCUGAAUGCCACCGCAAGAGAUUCGAAAGAAUGGAUUUUUGAUGCGGAAUCAAGGCUGGAUGAUGUCACCUCCCAUCAAUUACCUCUUCAGCUGUAACAAGGAACUUCAGCAGCUCCGAAGCUGCAGUUGCACAGAGCCGUUUGUGUAACUCUGCUGGUGGCUGGUCACCAACGGUGGAGCCACGCCCACAGAGUUCUGUCCCAGUCUUGGAUCGCGUCCAUCUCUGUGAAUGCAAAGCGUUGAUUAGUUCCACUUCGGGGGGACAGCUGGAUGUUUGACCUUAGUGAAAGUGCUGAUGGAGUCACAGAGUUGUCUCUGAAUCUGUUCCAGGACGGCACAGAAACUCAUAGAGACAAUAGUCAUGGCUAACAGACCAUUAGUUUUAUUUUUAUAACGCUGUUGUGUAAGGCUGUAAUAAUCCCUUGCCAAGUGUAAUUUAAUACUUUAGUCAUCGUUUACCACCCAGUGACACGGAGGCUUUGAAAGAUACCCAGACUUUAAUUUGCUAACCUCCACGUCAGAAUUUUGAUAAUAUUCAAUGCUGUUAUGAAACUUCAUAACCCAUGAUGAAAAUAUGCUUUUAUUAAAACUAAACCUUUCAUUUCUGCUUCGCUCUGCAGAAAUUUA